rnacentral:lncRNA from 1 species
AAACACAUGAUGCUCAUUGUCCUUUUUGGAAGCUAAGGCAUUGAUGUUCACGGAGUCCACCAGAGGCCCGACCCCAAACACAUACACAUCUGAAGGAGAGAAGGAGAGGGUGAGAGUCCAGGCCCUGAGGGGUGAGGGUUUGAGAGUGCAGGAUCCCAAAUGGGCCACUCACCCAGGUAAUCCUCCCUGGGAUUUUUGGGAUCCCUGCCGAUGUCCAGCAAGGCUCGGAUGUCCUGAAUGACAGUGACAGGGUUUCCACCCAUGUUGUGCAAGCCUGUGGGAAACAUGAGGAUCAUAAAAGUGGGACAGAGAAGAUACACUGUCUGGAGACACAAACACAUGCUCAGGAGAUGGGAGGAUGGUGGUGUAGGAGAAAGGCCUUACCAUCAGUCAUAAUGAUGAUGACAUGGCGGGUUCUAUUCCAGCCUUCAGGCGGGGCAUCCCCUGCCCAGCUCAUCAUGCUAUACACAGCCUGGAGAGCCCUCUUGGUGUUGGUCCCUGACUUCAGCUUGUGGUCUAUAGACAAAAGGUCACCAACCUUAUCUUCAAGCCACAUUUGCACCUCAGAAGUCUGUGACAACUGAGAUCCCACAUUCUUCAACUUUUACUCUAUAGACCAUGCUGGCCUUGAACUCAGAGAUUCACCUGCUUUUUGGAUGUUGGGAUUAAAGGCUUGUGCCACCAAGUCC